CAUGCAGGCGGUUCAUCAAGUAGGAUGUGAAAUCCCCGGGCUCAACCUGGGAACAGCAUACUAAACUGGUGGACUAGAGUAUUGCAGGGGGAGACGGAAUUCCAGGUGUAGCGGUGGAAUGCGUAGAUAUCUGGAAGAACACCAAAGGCGAAGGCAGUCUCCUGGGCAAAUACUGACGCUCAUAUGCGAAAGCGUGGGUAGCAAACA
rnacentral:rRNA from 1 species